ACCAAACCUAUGACGGAGAGAAGUAGCAUCCGCGGCCAAGGCAAAGCGAGUCCCGGACAGUGUGAGCGGGAUACAAGGCGGGGUGUGAAUGGACUUCGGAGGGCGGCUUGAACGGAGUAAUCCCAGUAGAUGCCGACGGGUUCCCACCCGUUAUCCAUCGGGCACGUGUGAUGGCACGUGAAACGAGUGGGCGUCUUCGGACGUCAAUUUGGGUGGUAUCGCAGAAGCUGACGCUUUUGUCCCAGAA
rnacentral:ncRNA from 1 species